rnacentral:tRNA from 1 species
UGUAACAAGCUUGGUUUUGAAUGAAUUGAAAGAUUUUUAAUUUCAAACUCGUGUCAAGCAUUU